GACGAACGCUGGCGGCGUGCUUAACACAUGCAAGUCGAACGGAAAGGCCUGCUUUCCCUUGUGGAUUGCGGGUACUCGAGUGGCGAACGGGUGAGUAACACGUGAGUGAUCUGCCCCCAACUUGGGUAUAAGCCUGGGAAACUGGGUCUAAUUCCCGAUAGGACUGCAGGGUGGUGCCUGUGGUGGAAAACGAUUUUCUAGUGGUUGGGGAUGAGCUCGCGGCCUAUCAGCUUGUUGGUGGGGUAAUGGCCUACCAAGGCGGCGACGGGUAGCCGGCCUGAGAGGGUGGACGGCCACAUUGGGACUGAGAUACGGCCCAGACUCCUACGGGAGGCAGCAGUGGGGAAUAGUGCACAAUGGGCGGAAGCCUGAUGCAGCAACGCCGCGUGGGGGAUGACGGCCUUCGGGUUGUAAACUCCUUUCGACCGCGAGGAAGCCACCUGGUUGGAAGGGUGGUGACGGUAGUGGUAGAAGAAGCACCGGCUAACUACGUG
rnacentral:rRNA from 1 species